GGUGCCUGCCUUAUUAUUGAUGGCUGCCAUGAAAUUUGCAGAAGAAUCAAUUGAAAUGUCUUGGAUUGAUGCAUCUUGCUCUGGAAUCUAUUUGUUUAAAAGCUGAUGUAAUGGAAUGAAAAAGUAUUGAUCCCUAUGCAAGCAAGGUGCACCUUAGAAUCAGUUUCAGUUGCAUUAUUACUAUAAAACUAAAACCUACCAGAUAUGGAUGACACCACUCUGAUCGCCUACCAAUAAUUCUCCUUGGUUUGGAUGCAAGCAAACACAAUUUACAGGAGCUGUGACUUGAAAUAUUCUAGAGCAUUAGUCAUCACCUCAGGUCCCAAACUCUCGCAGAACAGUCCUCUCCUCCAGUGUACAUCCAAUGUCCAUCUUCAUGAAAACCAACAGCCGUAACAUUUCGCGAUAUACCUUCGUAAUUAACUAUGGGAUUCGGAUU